rnacentral:lncRNA from 1 species
UGCUGACGGAGGCUCCACCUGAAACCUGUUCUCUCAGAUAAGUAUCUUCAUCCCAUUCAUCGUUUCAAGAAAAAUAAAUAAAUAAAUCUUACAGCACGGCAGCAUUUUCAUCUGCUUUGGUUUCAGCCAGAGAUAAACUGUUCCUGCUGCAAAGUAAUUAAUAUCAGUCGCCUGGAAAGCAGAAAUUGGGAGACAACAGGCUCCUCUUUCUUGAUAAACAGAUUGUUGGGUUUCCUUUGGGAGGGGAAGGAAUAACCUUGAAGAGAGGUGAGAAUUGUCAUGGAUUUUGUGUGACUUGUUACUCAAGAUGACUCAUUAAGCUGCCAAGAGCCUCACAGCCCAUCCAAACUUCUCAAACAACCCCUUCAAUUCCAGCCCUUGACCUGAUCUAUGUAGAGGGUUGGAAAAUUCACAGCAAUACAAAGCUAUGGAAACAGACUGUCAUCCACAUAUAUGUUGGGUGAUGGGGGAGACAUGAAGAGUGAGAGACUGUGGAGACAGGAAAGUAGCAACAUUUGCCAUGAGAUUUUCCUCGAAACCAUCUCCUUCUUGAAUUUAGACACUCAUUGUUUAUGUGCAGUGGCCCUAGGUACAGAAGGGUCACCACCCCAAGGAGAACUAUACCCUCCGGACUCAUAAACCAAAUUCUAGCCAGAUUCUCCCGGAAUAAAAUACUACAGUUCAUCCAUUAAGCUAAAUCUCCUUUCAACAAUUCCCUUCUUACCUGGCCCAUGAAAUGAAUAAUGAAGAGAUUAUUUUCUGGGCAAAUUGGUAGAAAAAUCCUGAUGCAGACAGUUCCCCUUCUGAUUGCACCUGACUUCCAUUCAUUGACUAUCACAUCAAGUAGUGGUUCUGGGAAUUCAAAGGAGAGCUCAGCAAAAGAAGAAGAAAAAAAAGCCCACAAAGUUUUUCA